rnacentral:rRNA from 1 species
UACGUAGGGGGCAAGCGUUGUCCGGAUUUAUUGGGCGUAAAGAGCGUGUAGGCGGCCAGGUAGGUCUGCUGUGAAAACUCGAGGCUUAACCUCGAGAUGUCGGCGGAAACCAUCUGGCUAGAGUCCGGAAGAGGAGAAUGGAAUUCCCGGGUGUAGCGGUGAAAUGCGCAGAUAUCGGGAAGAACACCCGUGGCGAAGGCGGUUCUCUGGGACGGUACUGACGCUGAGACGCGAAAGCGUGGGGAGCGAACAGG